rnacentral:rRNA from 1 species
AGAGCAUCGGGUGGAUGCCUUGGCGUCAGAAGGCGAUGAAAGACGUGGUAAGCUGCGAUAAGCCUCGGGGAGGAGCUAAACAUCCUUUGAGCCGGGGAUUUCUGAAUGGGGAAACCCAGCGGGAGUCAUGUCCCGUUAACAUUCACUGAAUUCAUAGGUGACUGUGGCUAACGCAGGGAAGUGAAACAUCUCAGUACCUGCAGGAAGAGAAAUCAAUCGAGAUUCCCCAAGUAGCGGCGAGCGAACGGGGAAGAGCCCAAACCGCGCGGAUUCGUCCGUACGGGGUUGUAGGGCCGGAAUGACCGAUUCACGCGUAACCAGAAGAAGUGAGCAGGAAAGCUCCGCCAGAGAGGGUGACAGUCCCGUAUUUGAAAGUGAGAGUGACGGUUCCGGUACCUGAGUACUGCGAGACACGUGAAAUCUCGUGGGAAUCCGGGAGGACCAUCUCCUAAGGCUAAAUACUAACUGACGACCGAUAGUGUACCAGUACCGUGAGGGAAAGGUGAAAAGAACCCCUGUCAGGGGAGUGAAAGAGAAUCUGAAACCUGGUGCUUACAAGCUGUGGGAGCCGUACUUGUACGGUGACCAUGUGCCUUUUGCAUAAUGAGUCAGCGAGUUAAUCUGUACAGCAAGGUUAAGCGUAAGUGAAGCCGCAGCGAAAGCGAGUCCGAACAGGGCCACAGUUGUGCGGAUUAGACCCGAAACCGGGUGAUCUAUCCAUGAGCAGGUUGAAGCAAGGGUAAAGCCUUGUGGAGGACCGAACCAGUUCUGGCUGAAAACAGUUUGGAUGACUUGUGGAUAGGGGUGAAAGGCCAAUCAAACCCGGUGAUAGCUGGUUCUCCCCGAAAUAUAUUGAGGUAUAGCCUUGCGGAUUGUCUUAUGGAGGUAAAGCUCUGACAGAACUAGGGGUCCUAUCCGACUACCGAAUUCUUUCAAACUCUGAAUACCAUUAAGAUUUACCGCAGGAGUCAGACGGCGGGUGCUAAGGUUCGUCGUCAAAAGGGCAACAGCCCAGACCGACAGCUAAGGCCUCCAAAUGCAUGCUCAGUGGUUAAGGUGGUGGCGUUGUGCAGACACCCAGGACGUUGGCUUAGAAGCAGCCAUCGUUUAAAGAAAGCGUAAUAGCUCACUGGUUCAAUGGCGCUGCGCCGAAAAUGUAACGGGGCUAAGCAUGCUGCCGAAGCUUCGGAUUUGUCUCUGACAACUGGUAGGGGAGCGUUCUCUGCGGGCUGAAGCGGAACCGAAAGGUUUCGUGGACUGCAGAGAAGUGAUUAUGCUGACAUGAGUAACGAUAAAAUAUGUGAAAAACAUAUUCGCCGUAAAUCCAAGGUUUCCUGGGUAAAGGUAAUCUUCCCAGGGUUAGUCGGACCCUAAGGCCAGGCUGAAAGGCGUAGCUGAUGGGAAACGGGUUAAUAAUCCUGUACUUGUGCGAUUGUGCGAAGAAGGGACGCAGGAUGGUAGACAGGCCGGUUUUUGGAAUCCGGUGCAAGUGCGUAGGCGUGCUCCGCAGGCAAAUCCGCGGAGAUGAGCCGAGACACGAGUCCGUGGGCGUAAGCCCUGAAGCUGUUGAGCCACGGCUGCCAAGAAAAGCUUCUAAGUUUAGAUCGCGCGAACCGUACCGCAAACCAACUCAGGUGGAUGGGAUGAAUAAUCCAAGGCGCUCGAGAGAACUCUGGCCAAGGAACUCGGCAAAUUGACCCCGUACCUUCGGAAUAAGGGGUGCUCCCCAUGGUGAGGCAGAUUCCUGCUCAGCCCCGGGGAGCCGCAGAGAAAUGGUGGUGGCGACUGUUUACUAAAAACAUAGGUCUGUGCGAAGUCCUACAGACGACGUAUACGGACUGACGCCUGCCCGGUGCCGGAAGGUUAAAAGGAGGAGUCAGCGCAAGCGAAGCUCCGAUUUGAAGCCCCGGUAAACGGCGGCCGUAACUAUAACGGUCCUAAGGUAGCGAAAUUCCUUGUCGGGCAAGUUCCGACCUGCACGAAUGGCGUAACGAUCUCCACGCUGUCUCGGCCAGAGACUCGGUGAAAUUGAAGUCGCGGUGAAAAUGCCGUGUACCCGCAGAAAGACGGAAAGACCCUGUGCACCUUUACUAUAGCUUGACAUUGGGUUUUGAACCUGCAUGUGUAGGAUAGGUGGGAGGCUGUGAAAGCUGUACGCCAGUAUGGCCGGAGCCACCCGUGAAAUACCACCCUUGUUUGUUCAGGACCCUAACUCGCAGCUGUAAUCCAGCGCGAAGACAGUGUCUGGUGGGUAGUUUGACUGGGGCGGUCGCCUCCUAAAGAGU